CAAGGGAUGCGCGCGAGUCGUCUCCGAAGGACGCGGAGUCGUCCCCACGCAUAAAAAGCAAACUUCCCGAGACGUCCCCAGAAAGCGCGGAGUCGACUCUCUCAGGGAAUUCCAGAGGACUUGUUUUUCGGUGAUAAAACUGCGGAGUCGUCCCCGACGUCGCGGAGUCGUCCCCAUGCAAAAAGCGCAAACAUCCCGAGACGUCCCCGUAAAGUGCCGAGUCGACUCCAAACAACGUCAAAAGAAAUUUUAUACAGCCGAGACGUCUCGCGUUCAAGCGGAGACGUCUCCGGAGCGCCU
rnacentral:lncRNA from 1 species